rnacentral:rRNA from 1 species
AAGACCUUAUGCUUUUGGAGCGGCCGAUGUCUGAUUAGCUAGUUGGUAAGGUAAUGGCUUACCAAGGCGACGAUCAGUAGUUGGUCUGAGAGGACGACCAGCCACACUGGGACUGAGACACGGCCCAGACUCCUACGGGAGGCAGCAGUGGGGAAUUUUGGACAAUGGGCGCAGGCCUGAUCCAGCAAUGCCGCGUGAGUGAAGAAGGCCUUCGGGUUGUAAAGCUCUUUCAGUCGAGAAGAAAAGAUUACUGAUAAUACCAGUAAUCCAUGACGGUAUCGACAGAAGAAGCACCGGCUAACUACGUGCCAGCAGCCGCGGUAAUACGUAGGGUGCGAGCGUUAAUCGGAAUUACUGGGCGUAAAGGGUGCGCAGGCGGCUUUGUAAGUCAGAUGUGAAAUCCCCGGGCUUAACCUGGGAAUU